AUUUCAUUUAAUUUUCUGGCCAAUAUUUUAUAUAACAACGGCCUCCAUUCCGCCUAAACUCUUCUUUCCCUCUCCUUCUAGAAACUUCGCUUCUUUCACUCCCUGCACUUCUUCCUUCUCCGCCACCGCUCGUUCCCUCCUCUGCUCCGUUCCGCGGUGGAGCCACCGCCUCCAUUCCGCCUCUCCGCUCACUCCCCGUCCUCGGAUCAGCGCCGUCGCCACCAUGGCCAAUUAGAGAACACACACAAAACUCAGCGCAGUCGUGUUUGAAUCCCCACCUCCCACAUCUCUCGUGUGAUCUUGUGAGAGAUUGUCUUAUGUAGGUGUUCAUUCAGUUAUUUCUUUGAUUCUUGUUUUCAUUUUGGACCGUGCUGCUCAUCAUCACAGCCAAAUGGCUACACAGUCAAACUCUCCUCCGCCUCCUCCUCCUUCUACUGGUGUAACAUCGCAUUCGUCGUCACCACCAUUGAAGCGGACUAGAAAGGCCUCACGCCUAAGAUUAUUGGCGACUAGACCAGUUGGGGCAGAGAGACCCCUUGUCCAUGUGGAUCCUGUUACUGGCAAAGCAAACGGUCCCCACAGCAAGAAAUUUAGAACAUAUUUAGGGAUCGUUGCUCGUGAUAAGGUGGAUGUCACAUACGAAAAUUGGAAGCAUGUCCUUAUUACUCAGAAGGAUUUGAUAUGGGAGGAUA